ensembl:lncRNA
CUCCUAUGGGAUCAGGCAUUACUGCAGUCCGACCAACUGCUCCUACGGCCUGCUUCCUCUUCGUCCACGCCUCCUCAGCGCUUCUCCUCCACUGUGAGCGCUCCGGCGAAGUGUCCUUCCUCGACCUCUGCCAACCCUCCUCAGCGUCCUUCAGACGAGGGCGCCGCUUCUAUGGGGGCUCAGUCGCUGCCUUCUCCCCUGACUAAGAAACGGGAGAAGCGCAAGCAUACCAGUCUGGAUAAAACUUCCACCCAUAAGAAGUUGAGGAAGGAAAAGGUGGAUAAGCCUGCUCGCAAGAGCAAGAAACCUGACCACCCAAAGCAAUGAGGCUCAGGUUCAUCGGGCUUCUCAGUACCGAUGGCCACCACGGUACCGACCCCCUCGGGACUGGCUCUGCAACUCGUUAUGCAGGUGACACCACCGGGAUCCCCCAGGCCAACCACUCGGCCUGAGAGCGUGCCUUCCCAGCAACAGGAGGAGCCACUUCGGGAGUCCAUCUCUGAUGGCGAAAUCAGAGAUUUCCCACCAAGGGAACGCUCACCAACACCCAUGCCACCGACUGAAUCUCAUGUGGCCUCACCAUUACCUCCUAGAGGUCGCAGCCAUUUAUCCAAGCGUCGAGAUGAAAGUUGGUUGAUUCCGGGAUAUGGUGCUCCCCCUGGCUGGGGUGGGUACCAGCCAUAUCCCUAUUUCCCUCGUGAGCAGAGAUCACCAUCGGUCCUGAGGGAUGUGCCAUCCACCUCCAGUCGUACAGAGAUGAGGCGCCCAGCCUCCCCUGAAACCUCCUCCUCCUCAAACGACAACCGGCCGCACUAUGUGGAAGACUCCGAGGACUCGGAGGUCGACUCCACAUCCCCUGAUGUGGCUGUCGCAUAUCAAGGGUCUGUUUCACCUGACGAACCUCAUGUCUCGUUCACAGAGCUCAUGUCCCACUUGGUUUGUUCGCUUGAAAUCAAAGCCCAUCAACAGCCAGGCCCUUCGACAGAUCACUUCUAUGAUGUCGUUUGGGGAGAGCAGUCCGCAUCCAUAGCUCUGCCGCUUAUAACUACACUGCGCCAGGCUAUGGUCCAACCCUGGAACCAACCGGCCCAACCACAAGCGACCUCCCGCAGAUAUGAGGCUAUGUAUAGAGUUCAGGACGAUGACAUUCCCUUCCUGCUCCAUCACCCAAAACCAAACUCUCUUGUGGUUGAAUCCUCCCAGGGCAGGGAGUCCAGGGACAUACCACUCCUCGGGACAAGGAAGGGAGGAAAAUCUAUAUGCUUGCACGCCUCUGGACUCGGCGUGCGCAUAUUGAACUACGAAGCGACACUGGCACGUUACCACUACUUUAUCAUGCAGAAGCUGGAUAACGUCGCUUCCUCCCUUCCGGACCACCAAGCGGACCUUGCCAGGGUUUUUAUUAAGGAGGCGAUGCAGGUGGCGGUACAACAGCUGUCUACCGCUCGUCACCAUGUAGACACCAAUUCAAGGGCCCUCGUCAACAGCAUCUCGCUACGCCGAUAUGCAUGGCUCCGCAAUUGUAAUUUCCCCGAUGAGAUGAAGCGCAGAAUCAAGGAAAUGCCUUUGAUGGUACCGGUCUGUUCCACCAGAAGACUGACCAAAAAUUAAAGGCGAUUCAUGAAUCACGCCUAACCGCACGCCGCAUGGAGCUCCCGCAAAAACGUAAGUGGCAGUGGCCCCAGUCAUCCCACCGGCAUCAACCAUAUUAUCCGCGCCAGCAAAACUACCCUCAAACCCAAAA